UGGGCAACCUGCCCUCAGCUCUGGGAUAACCCCGGGAAACCGGGGCUAAUACCGGAUACGACCUCCACGGGCAUCUGUGGAGGUGGAAAGGGUUUCCGGCUGAGGAUGGGCCCGCGGCCUAUCAGCUUGUUGGUGGGGUGACGGCCCACCAAGGCGACGACGGGUAGCCGGCCUGAGAGGGCGACCGGCCACACUGGGACUGAGACACGGCCCAGACUCCUACGGGAGGCA
rnacentral:rRNA from 1 species